AUCCCUGUGGCUCAGUUGGUAGAGCAUGGUGUUUGCAACGCCAGGGUUGUGGGUGCGAUUCCCACGGGGGGCC
rnacentral:tRNA from 1 species